ensembl:lncRNA
AAACCAAGAGCUAAAUUGAUUUAUAGCCAUGGUUACUCGAAAUGCUCAGAGUUUAAUCUAUUCAUAGAAAUGCUCUAGAAAUCCCACAGGAUUCCAAUGGAAUAAAAAGGAGCCGUGCUCUUAGGCAGGCAUUAUUUAUACACCUUGCUCCUAAAGCAACAGCUUUCCCAUGCAGUUGGAAGAGUUGUGGGUGGCAGCACACAAUGGUAAAAAGAUAAAAUAUUGAACAGCUUUCUUAAAUUAGCAUUUUCCUUACAUUUUACCUUUUAAACUGAUUGUUUUGUUUUACCUCACAGGCCCAAGUAACCUUGUGGCUAUCGCUUUAUGAGCUAGAUGAUAGAUCCUACCCAAAAUGGGCUCAGCAUAAAGAAUUUUCCCAUUGAAAAUACUCUUAACAGAGAUAGUGAUUUAAAGAAAUUUCAUUUUUUAAUCCUUUCAAUGAACUCAUGAGAUGCUUCACUAUUUCACAGCCACAGACCUGAGUGAGAAGGACACUGAGGAUUUCUGGAGCACAAGAGUUUCUGUGGGAGACAUCAGCACCUGCAAAGCCAAAGCUGACACUUUGGAUGACAAUGAUGUGACAAAGAACAGCCAACAAUGUGCUGCUUUAGCUGGAGAAAAAUUCAGGAUUCAGAUAAGAAAGAAAGGAAACAAUUCCUAAUGGAGAAUCGUGUUCCCUUCUGCCUCUCCUGUGGGAUCCAGGUUAGAGCUGCUCCUUUCCAGGACUGCUGUUUCCCUCCAGAUGUGUGACUACGUGUGCAGGCUGCAUUUGCAUGUGGAGAUGAAUGAGGCUGAUAAUAGCAGCACUUAGCAGGAAGUGCCGUGUGAUGUAACAUUUCCUUGAUCUAACCUGCUGUUGGUCUUGUGCUGCCUUCCCUGAGCUACCCGGGUUGAUCCUCAACAGCAUCCAGCAAGACAAAACACGCCUGGCUGCACAGGGACGGCAGCACAGGCACGGGGCUUUGCUCUGAGCAAAAUCGGCUGCUGGGGAAACUCAGAGUUCUCUCUUCCCUGAAGAUUUCAGUUGUUCAGUGCCAUCAUCCCCACCCCUCCUCUCUGAGGGUGAAGCUUUGUGGGCAGUGCUGUGAGCACGGGGCUCUCCGAACACUUGGAAGGAAAUUAAGAGAACAAAUCAGGUGCUGACACACAGCAGCGCUUCCCAGGGAGAUACGAUGUAGCUCGUCAGCAAAGCUGCCCUCAGUUCUGACAGGACACACCCCUGGCCAGACCAGAAUCGGUACCGCAGCAAAACCAAACCCCAAAUCCAAACCAGCCACGUGGGACAGCUGCUGCCACCUCUGCCUUUCCCCCUCACCCUGAUCUUCCUGCAGCUCCCAAAUCCCCAGCUCAGCUCCGAGCAGAGAGCAGCUCCCAUCAGGUGCAGUUUUUGAUCUGCACUUGCAGUUUUAUUGCCAUUUCUUCCCAGUUGUCAGCCCUGCAGCUCAGUGCAGCCAGGGUGAUGGAUGUCUCUGCUGGGCCAUGCAUUUUCUGCUGCUCCUCCUGCACCAGGAGGAGAUGAAGGGAAGUGCUGAUGUCCACGGAGCUCUGGAGGGAGGCACAGCAGUGCCAGAGCUUGUGCAUCUCUUAUCAACAUGAAUGACCCCUGCUCUCAACUUCCACAGGCCUUGGACACAACGAGGGCGUUUCCUUCCUCAGCCAGC